rnacentral:rRNA from 1 species
UUCCUACGGGGGGCUGCAGUCGAGGAUCUUCGGCAAUGGGCGAAAGCCUGACCGAGCGACGCCGCGUGGAGGAUGAAGGCCUUCGGGUUGUAAACUCCUGUCGGAGGGGAAGAAAUUUUGACUACCCCCUCGGAGGAAGCCCGGGCUAAGUUCGUGCCAGCAGCCGCGGUAACACGAACCGGGCAAACGUUAUUCGGAAUUACUGGGCUUAAAGGGUGCGUAGGCUGCGCUAUAAGUCGGGUGUGAAAUCCCUCAGCUCAACUGAGGAACUGCGCCCGAUACUGUAGUGCUUGAGGAGGAUAGGGGUGAGCGGAACUAGCAGUGGAGCGGUGAAAUGCGUUGAUAUUGCUGGGAACACCCGUGGCGAAAGCGGCUCACUGGGUCCUUUCUGACGCUGAGGCACGAAAGCUAGGGGAGCGAACGGGAUUAGAUACCCUGGUAGUCAGU